rnacentral:rRNA from 1 species
CCUACGGGAGGCAGCAGUCGGGAAUAUUGCGCAAUGGAGGAAACUCUGACGCAGGGACGCCGCGUGCAGGAAGAAGGUGUUCGGAUGGUAAACGGCUGUAGACAGGGAAGAAACAAGACAGUACCUGGAAAAUAAGCGCAGGCUAACUACGUGCCAGCAGCCGAGGCAAUACGUAGGGAGCAAGCGGUAUCCGGAUUUAUGGGGUGUAAAGGGUGCGUAGACGGGAAGGCAAGUUGGUUGUGAAAUCCCUCGGCUUAACUGAGGAACUGCAACCAAAACUGACUUUCUUGAGUGCUGGAGGGGAAAGUGGAAUUCCUAGUGUAGCGGUGAAAUGCGUAGAUAUUAGGAGGAACACCAGUGGCGAAGGCGACUUUCUGGACAGUAACUGACGUUGAGGCACGAAAGUGUGGGGAGCAAACAGGAUUAGAUACCCGGGUAGUC